CCCGCUUCUGGCUGGGACUCUCCAACCAGAAAUGCGACGACGUCUGGUGUGGCUUUGUAGCCGGAAGCCAGGAGCUGAUCUGGUCUGAUGGCGAGACAACGACACACACCAACUGGGCCUUAGACCAAUUUAAAAGCGCCGACGUCGCGUCCUGCGCCUACGUCAACCAAGGAGUUC